rnacentral:rRNA from 1 species
CUGUCUUACAAAAAAUUGUUAUAACUUAUUUUAAACGGUGAAAAUACCGUUAAAUUUUAUUUAGGACGAGAAGACCCUAGGAACUAUAAAAAAAAUAACAUGUUAAAUGUUAGGAUUUUUGGUUGGGGCAACCAUGAGACAAAAAAAAAUUCUCAUAAACAUAUUGUACAUGUCGAACGAUUAUGUUAAGUGUGUCUUUUAGUUACCCUAGGGAUAACAGCAUAAUUUUAUAAAUAAGAUUGUGACCUCGAUGUUGGACUAG